GCUAAUACCGCAUAACGUCUACGGACCAAAGAGGGGGACCUUCGGGCCUCUCGCUUCAGGAUAUGCCCAGGUGGGAUUAGCUAGUUGGUGAGGUAAUGGCUCACCAAGGCGACGAUCCCUAGCUGGUCUGAGAGGAUGAUCAGCCACACUGGAACUGAGACACGGUCCAGACUCCUACGGGAGGCAGCAGUGGGGAAUAUUGCACAAUGGGCGCAAGCCUGAUGCAGCCAUGCCGCGUGUAUGAAGAAGGCCUUCGGGUUGUAAAGUACUUUCAGUCGUGAGGAAGGCGUUGAAGUUAAUAGCUUCAUCGUUUGACGUUAGCGACAGAAGAAGCACCGGCUAACUCCGUGCCAGCAGCCGCGGUAAUACGGAGGGUGCGAGCGUUAAUCGGAAUUACUGGGCGUAAAGCGCAUGCAGGUGGUUUGUUAAGUCAGAUGUGAAAGCCCGGGGCUCAACCUCGGAACCGCAUUUGAAACUGGCAGGCUAGAGUACUGUAGAGGGGGGUAGAAUUUCAGGUGUAGCGGUGAAAUGCGUAGAGAUCUGAAGGAAUACCAGUGGCGAAGGCGGCCCCCUGGA
rnacentral:rRNA from 1 species